GUUCGUGGGGUUGAAAGGGGACAGCAGGUAUCUUUGGAAAGUUUGGAAAUUUCCUCAUUCCUUGGGUGUCCCUUUGCUUAAUGACCCAGCGUGUCCUGCCCACCAUUCAGGCCUGUGGCAUCUCUGCCUUCUAAAAGGGUAGCAUUAAUAUUGUUAUUUGACAGUUUAAGAAACUGUGGCCCAGCAAUAGUAACUAAGGUCUAUCAGCACAAUGAGUAUUAAAGCUGAGACAGUCUGAUUUCAAAAACGUGAACUUUCACCACAAGGGAAAUUUGUUUCAUUGAAGACACAUGUUGCCAAAGGAGAAGACAGAGCUGACUGGAAACACUAAAGAGGUUCAUCUCCAUGCACCAAAGGACAAGUCUCCACUUAACACAUGGAGAGACAUGAAAGGGCCUAGGAGAAACUGAGUUAAAAUAUUUUGGACAUCAGAGAUGUGCAUCACUGGGAAACAGUAAGUAAUACUUUCCCGCAAAAGAGCCCUGGGCUCUAAGUUCAACUUUGUCCCAGAUUUGUUGUGUGA
rnacentral:lncRNA from 1 species